rnacentral:rRNA from 1 species
UCUAAUACAUGCAAGUCGAGCGGAAUGAUGAAGAAGCUUGCUUCUUCUGAUUUUAGCGGCGGACGGGUGAGUAACACGUGGGCAACCUACCUUGUAGAUUGGGAUAACUCCGGGAAAACCGGGGCUAAUACCGAAUAAUCCAUUUUGCUUCAUGGCGAGAUGUUGAAAGACGGUUUCGGCUGUCACUACAAGAUGGGCCCGCGGCGCAUUAGCUAGUUGGUAGGGUAAUGGCCUACCAAGGCGACGAUGCGUAGCCGACCUGAGAGGGUGGUCGGCCACACUGGGACUGAGACACGGCCCAGACUCCUACGGGAGGCAGCAGUAGGGAAUCUUCCACAAUGGACGAAAGUCUGAUGGAGCAACGCCGCGUGAGUGAAGAAGGGUUUUUCGGAUCGUAAAAACUCUGUUGUAAGGGAAGAACACGUACGAGAGUAACUGCUCGUACCUUGACGGUACCUUAUUAGAAAGCCACGGCUAACUACGUG